UGAGAAAAAUGGAUGGAGGAGGCCAUUAAGCAUGCACUGGAAGUACAGUGAAAGUAUGAGGAGAAGAGGGCUGAAAGAAAGAAAAAUGGUGAAUAGAAAGAAAAUAUUGGUGUUUCAAGGCCAAGAGAGUCCAAAGUAAGAUAUUGAAAUCGGUUAAUAUGGUUCUUUACACUUAUCGGAAGAAGAGAUCUGGAUCAUGGAGGUGGUUCUUCACAUUAUUUUAAUGUGGCACCUCAUUCUCUUAAACUCUUCAUUUUAGCCAGCCAUUCAAUAUUGUGUGAUCGGCAAUUUUGAAAAGGUAUAUGAAACUUACAGACAUCACAACUAGAUACCGGCAUGCCUUGCCUGCACUGCUGCCUCGAUACCAAAUGGACAAAACAGGCACUCAAACACUUGUGUGCUAUUCUCGGACAUUUUCAAGAUAGACUGCUUACAAAGGACAUGGUGACAUGACAUCAACAUCAAAGGGUUAUCAUCAGUUACUUGUUCCUUCAGACAGAAUGGAUCUCGAAUUCCCUGUCCGUCUCAAUUUGCACUGGUACGUAGUAACUCACUCAUAGACUUCCAUUCCUGCUUCUUUCCUUCCAUGAUGACAUUCAUAAAUUUAAUGGAACUGUUGUAUGAAUGUCCCAAAAAGAUUGCAGAAAUUCCUUUUAAGUUCCUCGGCAAACCUAUCCAAGUUAAUUAGUGGCAGGCCCAGUUGAGGGCUGGCUCCAGGUUCUGAUUCUGUAUGGCUUGGAGUAUUUGAUACAUUUCUAGGAAUGCAGAUUUCACAAUUGCAGCAGAUUCCUGCUCUCCAAAUGAACUUUAAAAAUGGUAGGCAGUUAUUUGAUUUGAAGUCUAAAUGUCAAUGUCGAUGUUUCCAUAAGAUCGUAUAUAUCAGUGUUGGAAUAUUUCUCAAAGAUGCUUCCCAUUCUUGCUGAGUACUUACUAUUUAGAUGAAAUCUCUUUUCAAAUGGUGUGAUCUCAUAAAAUGGAAACUAUUA